GACGCUUGGAUAGGUCGGUAGAGCUCAUUGAUUCGUGAGUUGUCUUUGGAGAUUUGCACUGCGGAACCGGAAUCGUGAGGUUUGAAGGUGAACGGCGUGUGAAGAUGAAAUCAACGGUGUAUGAGUUAUUGACGGCGAUCGAAGAGGGUUGCACGGCGAAGACCAAUAGCUGGACGGUUUUCGGUGGAUGGAGGAGUUUAACUGCAAUGGUGUUCGUCCGCGAGGAGGGUGAGUGGUUUGGUGGUGGCGUUUGGGUUUUGAAGAGGUUGAAGGUGGGUCGCGAGGUUGGACGGAGGUGUGGGUCGUGAUGCACGGUGGCUUUGUGUGAAGUGUGAUGGUUGAGAGAUGACGGUGGGAGUUAGCGGCGGAGACGAUUUGGGUCGUGGGUUUGUGUGGCGAUGGAAGACGGUGGUGCGGUGGAGGUUCAGGGUUGGAGUGAGGGCUUGGUGUUGAGAGUGGAAGAGUGAAUGAAAUGUGAGAGGGUUUCGUGUAGUUGAUGGGAAGGAGGCGGAGGCGAGGGUUUUGCGUGAGGGUUUUGUGAGGUUGAGUUUUGUGAGGUUGUUGAGAGAUGAUGGCGGUGGUUGAAGGAUUUAGGUGAAGGAGUGUUUUGUAUUUGCUUUCUUUUUUCAGAAAGAGUGAGCGAGACGAGAGAGAAGAGGGUGAGGUUGUGUGAGCUGAGAGUGGGGACGCAUGUUGUUAAAAUGAGUGGAGAGUGUGUGAGAGAUAUCCUUUUUCUUUUUUUGUUUUUUAUGUGAGGAGGGAAUCCAAUGCACAUAAGUUUUUUAUAAUUAUUAUUCAUUUAAAUAACAAGUCAUAAAAAACUAACUAAUAUUUAAUUUAAACACAUUCUAAUUAUUUUAAUUAAAUAUCUAACCAAAAAACAUUGACCCAUUAAAAACAGAAAUCGAGUACAAAUUUGUUCGAAAAGAUGAACCGGUCACACUAAAAUUGUCAGGACAAAAAAUACUUAUUAAAAAAAAUACAGCCUUUCCUCAAAUUCUGAAAUAAUUUUGCACUGAUUAAAAGGCUCAGGCGGUUCAAGAUAUAACCGAAACAGUCACUGUUGAUUUUGCCUAUUCUUGAGAAAUGAUUCAACUGAUUGGUCUGCCUUUUCAAUAAAUACAUUCUGACUGGCACUUUAGGCAUUAUUCAUGAUGCAAUGUAUGUCAUGCUAUGCAUAUGAUGCAAAAAUGAAAAUGAAAUCAGUUCUAUGAAAGUUGUAAAUAUGCCCGGACAAAAUUGGGGUAUGAUAGCUGCCCCUAUUUAAUUAACUUGAACUAGAAGGUAAGAAUGACGAUAGUCUUCAUACAUUCAUGGUGGAAGGUAAUUAAAUACGAAAAGAUCCAAAUUUUGUCCUUUGAAAUGCAAUGGAAUGGAUGCAGAAAGAAGAUGUAAUGGAUUCUAACAGCACCAAGGUGAUAGGGGUAGAAAGCCAAAUCAAUGUCAACCCUCGAGUCGACAUUCAGGUCUUGCAAAGGUCGUUAUUGGUGUGAGACAAAAACUGGACAUGUUUUCUGGCACCAAAAAGAUGACAGUGGAGUUAGUUUCUAUCACCAAAAGGAUGACAGAGAUUCACCAUGAUUUCCAGGAUCGUCAUCACCAAAAGGAUGAUGGCUAAGUUGAGCUUCAGAAGUAGUUAUCACCAAAAGGAUGAUGUCCGUCACCAAAAGGAUGAUGUUUAUUCUGAUAAAGUUUUCCGAUUACCGAGAGUAUAAUAUCAAGGCUAUCACCAAAAGGAUGAUAGUUGACUCAUCAACUUCAAAUAUCACCGUCACCAAAAGGAUGAAGGUAAUAUCCAACAAUCAAAACUUGUUAUCACCAAAAGGAUGAUAAUAAGUCAAAUAACUUCAAUGAUCACCAUCACCAAAAGGAUGAAGGUAUAAUCACACAAAAAACUUGUUAUCACCAAAAGGAUGAUAAUAAGUCGAAACUCCAUGAUCACCAUCACCAAAAGGAUGAAGGUAUAAUCACACAACAAACUUGUUAUCACCAAAAGGAUGAUAAUAAGUUGAAACUCAAUGAUCACCAUCACCAAAAGGAUGAAGGUAUAAUUAAAACAGAACUUGUUUCCACCAAAAGGAUGAUAAUAAGUCACACAACUCAAAGAAUCCCCAUCACCAAAAGGAUGAUAGUAAGAUCAAAACAAAACCUUGUUACCACCAAAAGGAUGAUAAUAAGUCAACAAUCACCAUCACCAAAAGGAUGAAGGUAUAAUUAAAAGACAAAACUGUUACCGCCAAAAAGGACGAUAAUAAGUCGACAAUCACCAUCACCAAAGGAUGAAGUAAUAUUAAAAGACACAACUGUUAUCGCCAAAGGACGAUAAUAAGUCACACAACGCAUGAUCACCAUCACCAAAAGAUGAAGUAAGAUCAAGACCAACUUGUUUCACCAAAAGAGAUAAAAGUCAACAGAUCACCACACCAAAAGAAAGGUAUGUUCAAACGACAAAACUUGUACACAAAAGGAUGAUAAUAAGAAACACAACGCAUUGAUCAACCUCACCAAAGAUGAAGUAGGAUCAAGACCACCUGGUUAAUCACCAAAAGGAUGAAGGUAAGGUCAAACGACAAAACUUGUUACCACCAAAAGGAUGAUAAUAAGCACUCAGCGCAAUUGAUCACCAUCACCAAAAGGAUGAAGGUAGGAUCGAGACACAAACUUGUUAUCACCAAAAGGAUGAUAAUAAGUCAACAAUCACCAUCACCAAAAGGAUGAAGGUAUUGUCAAACAACAAAACUUGUUACCACCAAAAGGAUGAUAAUAAGUACAUAACUUCAAAACUUGUUAUCACCAAAAGGAUGAUAAUAAGCUGAAACAGACUCAAUGAUCGCCAUCACCAAAAGGAUGAGGGUAAGAUCAAAACAAAACUCAUUAUCACCAAAAGGAUGAUAAUGAGCCCAUAACUCAAAUGGUCACGGUCACCAAAAGGAUGAAGGUAAGACCAAUCAACAAAACUUGUUACCACCAAAAGGAUGAUAAUAAGUCAAAACUUCAAAACUUGUUAUCACCAAAAGGAUGAUAAUAAGUCGACAAUCACCAUCACCAAAAGGAUGAAGGUACUACAAACAACAGGACUCGUUAUCACCAAAAGAAUGAUAAUGAAUCAACAAACACCAUCACCAAAAGGAUGAAGGUGAGAUCAUAACUUUGAAACUUGUUACCACCAAAAGGAUGAUAAUAAGUUAUAAUAACUUCAACUAUUGCCGACACCAAAAGGAUGACAGUGGGAUUGAACUUUCCAAAUGUCAGCAUCACCAAAAGGAUGAUGGCUUAAACCAAGCUUUAUAAUCUCUAUCACCAAAAGGAUGAUAUUUAGCUUUGAACUGGACAUCAUCACCAAAAGGAUGAUGGUUGAACCAAAAUGACAAGGAUCCUUAUUACCACAAGGAUCGCCGACACCAAAAGGAUGACGGUAGGCUGUAAUAAUUGCAGAGGUCACCACUCACCAAAAGGAUGAAGGUUGGACCAAAGCUUCAGGGAUCUUCGACACCAAAAGGAUGACAGUAAGAUCGCAAAUGUCAAGGGUUUACCAUUACCAAAAGGAUAACGGCCACCAUAAACAGGGUGAUGGUUAAUAUUAUUCCUCAAUGGACUUUCACCAAAAGGAUGACAGUGAGAAAAAUAUUGGAACCACCAUAAACAGGGUGAUGGUUAAUAUUAUUCCUCAAUGGACUUUCACCAAAAGGAUGACAGUGAGAAAAAUAUUGGAAAAAUAAGGCUACUGUCAAAGUUCAGUAAACCUGAUUUGCUGGGUAGUGUUGGAACAUCACUGGGUAAGAUUUUCUUGGGGUAUCAACAACAAAAGGUUGCAGAACCAAUAUUCUCUGGGGAGAUGUAGUUUCUAUCAACAAAAGGUUAUAGGAAACGACUCAUUGAGGGAUGCUCAACGCGAAACAAGGUAAGUGUUUAGAGAAACAUUGUUUGACUAAGCUGAGGAUAACAUCUUAUCAACAAAAGGUUGAAGGAUAUAUUUUAAUGGGGAACGACCGAUAGUAGGGUAAGAACUCACUCAGAGAAAGUGACAAUGACUCAACUGAGGGUUGACCUGGAUGCCUACGACUAAACCUUGGAUUUUGAUUUGUGCAAUAUGCAUAAAUGUCAUGUAUGCAUUAUGUAUGAGGUGAUGCAUAUGAUGUAUGUGAUGCAUGUUUGAAUGCAAAGACUGAUUGGUUUGUUUGGGAUUGGCCCCCCUCUUCAAAGGCAAUGUGUUUUCUGGAAACCAGUGUUGGUUGUAUUUGUUUUUGUGUGGGUGCCAACAAGGUGGACUUUGGCUUUUCUGGUAAUUGUCAAUGUGGAUUGUAUUGUUGGUUGGUGAAGGGAUCUGACUGCCCGACACUCGGUAGUUGAUAAUGUGAUGAACACGCAAUAGGUGUGGAUGCUCUUGGUGCCCCCAGUUUGAUCUCUUGCUGAUAUGUUGUGUAUUUGUCUUCGAGAAGAUCUCAGUUCUUCUUCUGAAGUGUUUUGGCCAACCUGUGACUGAGCAUAGCGAUGUGAUCAACGCAUGUUGGUUGUGCUUUUGACAUGCCCUAAGGAUUCUUGUCAAGGUAUGAUGUUGUGCUGGUAUGAACUUUUGACGUUUUUGUUGUGAAUUCAAGCAGUUUCUAGUGGCUGGCGCAAUCUGCUUGACUGACUUGAAGAUAUGAAGGGAGUUUGCCCCCUUGCAACUUGUCUUGCCCCUGACUGUAGGGUACCAAAUGAAUUCUCCUUGAAAGGAAACCUUUAGGAGUGAUUAUCCCAUGACAUGGUCUGAGUCUGUUUCCUUCAAUGUCCUGAAUCUCGCAAUGGUCUGCCCCUGAUUAGCCUUUGGGGAACUUGCCCCAGACGGACUGAAUGUUGAAGUGUUUUUUCCCUCCAUGAUCAACCGAUGCUUGGAGAUUUAUCUUAUACUGGCUACUUCUUAGGUUAAUAUAAUCAAAAGAUGCCAUGCCUCUGAUUCACAGGACGGUCUUGAUUCGUGUCAGCACCAACGAUCAAGUGCCUCUUGAAUUGCCCCUUGUUAGAAUUUACUCGAUGUCAAGUACUGACUGACAAUUAAGAAUUGUUAUUCAAGAAAUGGUGAUUUUAAUGCAACAGUUAUGCAAGUUUUGAAAAACAAUCAUUCAUUUGGAGUGUUGUGGUAGUACGUGGCGAAUGGACCGUGAGUCCAAACGCGGUGUUGAUUUUAGCUAGUGUGUGAAUGAUAUAGUGAGAAGAGAAUAUUAACAAAUCUUUGGGAGUCAGUUUACUCAACCUUGCUAUAGUAUGCUUUUAGAACAAACCUUACUUCAAUUAGGUCUUCUGAAGGUUGUAACGUGGCUUGGUUCAUGGUUAUUGAAACAAAAGGAUAUAAGGCUCAAAGUUUAUUUUAACCCACCCCUUCUUCAUGAUGAUCUCCAAAUACUUCAAUUAGGUCUUCUGAAGGUUGUAACGUGGCUUGGUUCAUGGUUAUUGAAACAAAAGGAUAUAAGGCUCAAAGUUUAUUUUAACCCACCCCUUCUUCAUGAUGAUCUCCAAUCCUAUGUUCAAUUAACUCACACACAUUCGUCUUUUGCAGGUGUAAGGAUAAAGAUGGUGAUUCAAGGUCUCUUGGAAUGACAGCCAUCUUAUUUUGCUUUUUGGAUGUCGGUGACCCUUUGAUUUUGGUAUGGUGGUCACAUAAUCUUGUUUUGUUUUGUUGGAGACUUUCAUUGUCUCUUUCGAUUUUUGUUUUGAUCCCUAACUUUUGCAUGGACCGCUCUGUUUGAAGCUUUAAUCCAUCGGGAUUGCCCCUGUUUUUACCUAAGUCUCCUUUCAGGGUGUUGGACUUAGCGGGCUCUUUUUUUUGACUUUUUUUUUUGAAAUUGUGACUGCAAGACAUUGGUCAUUGAAGAAUAACAGACAAAGAAUUUGGAUUUGUACGGUUCCUUCGACACUUCAGGAUGUGUAUGAAGAAUAUCGUGUGGUUGACCCUUGUAUGGGAUAUUUCAUCUUGUGAUUCAAAAGUGUAGUUAGAUUAACUGAACACUACCCUGGCCCUGGUUAAGCGUACGGGUUUUUUAGAUCUGAAAGGAACUCCUACUUCUAGGCUUGAAGUGGUUGACUAUGGAUUAACUCCUUAUCUCUCCAGUGUUUGGGGAUUUGAAACAGUGCCUGUACAUCAUUAGCAGGGUUUUAUCCGAAAGCAUUCGAUCAACAAUUAUGAGUAUUUUGUUUUCGUCAUCCUCCUUCCAACAUUUACUAACAAUAGUGCGAUAAAGGAGGUGAAGUGGAAAAGUAUGUGUUUGUGCUUUGCAAAUGUGAUAGAUGAGUGAAUAUGAAAGAUUGAUUCAAAGCAUGCAUAACCAUCCCAUUAAUAAGACCAAAUAAAAAUAACAAUGUUUAAAGCAUAUAGUACUUAGACAGACAAGAUCAAAUUACAAGAAUGCAAAAUGGUAAAAAUGGCAUAAUGAUCGCCUUCAUUCAAAUGAACAAGCCUCCAUCUUUGGAUUCUUCGGCGGAAUCUCUGCUUGUUCAGGCAGGUGGGAAGCUUUACCUUCGAGCUUCACUCGACUCUGCAUGCGCUGGCAUGGGAUUUGUCGUGAUAUUUGGCCUCACUGACGUGAAUGUAACUGCUUUACUGUCAAUCAGAUCUUGGACCUUAUGCUUGAAAGCCUUACAGUUCUCUAUUGUGUGCCCUGGGGCACCCAUGUGAUACUCACAGUGAGCAUUGGCAUCGUAGCCUGGAGGGUAAGGCGGAGUUGCAGGUGUUAUCUCUUUUAGAACAACCGAUCCAUCCUUUAACAGGUAGGGGAGGAUCUUGCUAUACGAUACUGGCAGAGGAUCAAAAUGUCUUUCUAGCCUCCUUGCCCUCUGCUGAUUAGGUGGACGUGGUUGUGGAACACGUUGCUGUUAAUUUUGAUGCGGCUGUUGGUAAGCCAGCUAUUGAUAUGGUUGUUGAUAUUGUUGCUGAUGUGGUUGUUGAUAUGGUGUUGGGAUGACAGCAGCAACCUGAGGGUAAUGCGUAUGAGCAUGCGAAGGUGCCCUAUAUCCCCCUCCUCUCAUUACGGCAUUGGUCUGCCCUUCUGGCUUCUUCGGGAGAUUAGGAUAAGGUUUCUUUAUCCCACCUGAAGCAUUGGCAGUGCAAGGUAGCUUUCCCUUCUUGAUCUGACUCUCAAUUCGUUCUCCCAUGGAGAAGACCUCAGCAAAAGUUGGGAAACUGGAUCCUACCAUUUUCUCCAUGUAUUGGGUAUGCAUAGUUCCCAUAAACAUGUCAAUUAGCUCUUUGUCCAGGAGAGGAGGUUGGACACGAGCUGCAAGCUCUCUCCACCGUUGUGCGUAUUCCUUGAAUGACUCGUUGUUGCGUUGAGUCAUGUCUUGCUGUUGAGUGCGGUUGGGUGCUAGAUCAGUAUUGUACUGAUAAUGCCUUAGGAAUGCUUCAGCGAGGUCUCUCCAUGAUUGGACCUGUCCUCUCUCCAGUUGCAUGUACCACUCCAAGGAUGCCCCACUCAGACUAUCUUGGAAGUAAUGAAUCAAGAGUUGAUCAUUACUGAUGUGGGCAGCCAUUUUGCGACAGUAGGCUCUGAGAUGGGUUCUCGGGCAGCUGAUCCCUUUGUACUUGUCAAAGUCUGAGACUUUGAAUUUUUGCGGAAUCACGAGUCCAGGCACGAGGCACAUGUCAACAGCGUCUAAACUGGGAGUAGUGUGAACCUCCAAGGACUUGAAUUUCUCUUCCAGAGCAUGGAGUCUAUCAACAGCUGGGUCUGGGAGACCUCCAACAAUAGGCUUGGCGGGUUGUGGCAUGAAGAAGGCUUCAUAUGGAUCUUCAUCACCCAUCAUUGAUCCAUGUCGAGCAGAUGUAGCAGAAUGCUCAUGAGGGUUUACAUUGACCAUUGGGAUUGGAAUAGGGAUCGGUCCUCCUCUAGGCUGAUUAGGGUUACCUUCAAGGUCAAUCACUCCAGGGAUACUGAGCGAUGGUGAUCCAAACUGGGCAGCAACUUUCCUAGCUUCGGCGCUGGUCUCAUCAUCCUUCCCCUUCUGGGCCAGGAGUAACAUGGUUUCCAACAAGCGGUCCAUCUUUGCCUGCAUGGAGUCAAUGUCGGUCCUCAUCGAAACCUGGUUUGCUUCCAACUGUUCAAGUGUCAUCUUGUAGUUGCGGCGUGUCUCGUACCGGUGUCGAGUAGUCAGCGUUAUUGGACAAAGGGUAGAAUAUGGCGUGAGUUUUUGUUGUUUUUGGAUAAUGAUAUGCAAUGCAUGUUGAUGAUAUGCAAAUGCAUGAAGUUUCUCCAUGUUUUUUUUGCAAGGAAUACAGAUACUCAUGAUCAUCCACACGUCGGUUACAUCAGGAUAAUAGGAAAAAGCACGGGUUUCUUCGAUUACUGGAAAUUCCCCAAAGGUAGGUUCUAAAGUUACGUUUUCAAGAAAGGAACUUAGACUCACGGAUCAAGUUCAAAACUUCCUCGCAAUGGUGGUCUACCCACAUCGUGAUGGGAAUUCUGAAAUGAUCUAAUCUAAGCGGGAUUCUCGUAUUGUUCGAACAGGGUGUAGACCCUUCGGUUCAACACUACACAAUCACCAAUCAUGAAAACAAAACUUGGGUUUAAGGCGAGGUCCCUAGAGUCACGGAUCGUGUUUAGAACCUCCCCCACAAUGAUGGGCUAGCCAUAUUGUGAUGGAAACUCCAAACAGAAGGCGAGGUCCCUAGAGUCACGGAUCGUGUUUAGAACCUCCCCCACAAUGAUGGGCUAGCCAUAUUGUGAUGGAAACUCCAAACAGAUCUACUCUAGGUGGAGUCUUCGUAUUGUCCCAAUGAGGUGUGCACCCCCCGGUUCAAUACUACACAACUCUGGGUUCUAUGUUUUUUCUCGAAGCUCGGGUAUGGAGCUUAUCUCACAGCAUACACCAAGUCCCAUAUCAAAGUAUCAAAACAUUACAUACAAGUAACAUAAUAAAAAUACAGAGAAACAAGCACGGAAGAUAAGAAUAUCUUCUAACAGUCACAGCAAAAUUAAACUAAGUUAGGCUAGACUCUCUCUUGCUUGGAGCAGGGUCCCCAGCAGAGUCGCCAGUCCGUCGCACCUCAAAAAAUUUGCUAAUGCGAUCCCUCGCGAUAGGAUGCGGAAAAAAUGUCCCCAGCAGAGUCGCCAGUCUGUCGCACCUCAAAAAAUGAUAAUGCGAUCCCUCGCGAUGGAACGCGGAAAAAUGUUAGUUCGAAACAGAGUCGCCACCGAACUUUAUUCAUUCCAAUGAAGGAAUAGGAAAAUAUCGAGAAAACCUUUAGAAAUAAGAAUAAUGGUCAUCGCAACCAUAUUCGGGUUCGGGAGUCGAUUAUGCAAGGGGAAGGUAUUAGCACCCCUCACGUCCGUUGUACUCAACGGGAACCUUUUAGUCUGAUUUUGCUAUUUGACUGUUAAUUGACUGUUAUCUGCUUGCUUCGAGUGAUUAGAAUUGAUGAUAGAUAUGGAUGAAGACCUCAGGAGGGGGAAAUGGGAGGUUUUUUAUUAGUGUGCUCGCGAAGAUACAGCAAUCUCCUGCCUACGUAUCCUUAUGGUGCAAUAAGGAAAUCAGAGCAUUCGUAGUUCGGGCUACUACGAAGAUUUGGUGUGUUUUUUUUUUAUGAACGACUGUGUAGGUCGGCGUUCUAACGGCUAAACGCUGGCUUGUCUACUCUCAGUGGAGGCUCUAGCACUGGUUUGUUGUGCGCAUUAGAAAGGAUUGACAGUGUUCUUUUUGGAAGGGUUUUGGUCACGCGGGGGUGACAAGUUGAAUUGACGUGUUUGGUGUUUGGUUGUUUGGUUUCGAUCGCUCGGGGGCGAGAAAUUAGGUUUGAUUUGUUUGAGAUGUUUUUUGAAGAACGACGAAAGAUUGAGCAAUGUGGUGUUUACCAAUCGUCCAAUUCUUUCGAGGAGUAGUAAGGCGUCCGCCUUCUACUUCUUUUUCGUUCGAAUUAUUUUAAAAGUUUGUUUGUGGAUGUUGAAUAUGCACGGUAGUGAGGCGUACGCCCCCUACUUGCUUAUCCAAAGAAUAAUGAGGCGUACGCCACCUAUUCUCUUAUCCAAGUUAUUUAACGUGUUUUAGUCGGAAGUCGAUGAUUUGUGCAAUAUGGCGUACGCCAAUUAUUCAAAUAAUCGAGAGAGGAUGAGGCGCACGCCUCCCCUCUUUUAUCAUCCAAAGUUUAAAUUGUAAAAGAUAUGUUAAGAUGUCGUAUUCGAUUGCGUUUUAAAUUGAUGACGAAGAUUCGAGCAAUGUGGCGUACACCAAUUAUUCGAAUAAUCGAAAGAUAGUGAGGCGUACGCCUCCUAUCCUCUUUUCAUCUGAAAUAUGGAAUUAAAAGAAUUUGGAAUUUGUAGAAAUGAUUUGAAAUAUUAUGAUUUUGGUUUAAUCGGGUGACAUGAACUCGCGCAAUAUGGCGUACGCCAAUUAUUCGAGUGCUUGAGAAAUAGUGAAGCGUACGCUUCCUAUCUCCUUUUCAUCCCAAGUUUAUGUUUGAAAGAGAAAAUUCUUUUGAAGUUAGAUGGUUAUUGAGAAAUAGUGAAGCGUACGCUUCCUAUCUCCUUUUCAUCCCAAGUUUAUGUUUGAAAGAGAAAAUUCUUUUGAAGUUAGAUGGUUUGGAAAAAUGUUUGAAUUUGUGUUAUUAUAUUUGAUUUUUAAAAGUGAUUUGAAAUUGUGCGAUUAAAGACUUAAUCGGGUGACAAGAACUCGCGCAAUAUGGCGUACGCCAAUUAUUCAAGUGCUUGAGAAAUAGUGAAGCGUACGCUUACUAUCUCUUUUUCAUCCCAAGUUUAUGUUUAAAAGAGAACAUUCUUUUGAAAUUGAGUUGGUUUGGAAAAAUAUUUGAAUUCAUGUUUAGGAAUGAAAUGAAUUUUAUUUAGUGUACUAUUUCAUCUACUCGAUUAAUCAAUAACCGAAUAGGUUUCAUUGUAAGGAAGCCCAAGAGUAAGCUAUGUGAGGUUGAUGGCGAUGCUAAGAGCAAUCGACUUACAAGGGUGUUUUAAAAAUGGGCUCGAUAUUAAAUCGAGAAUUGUAUGAUUUGUGCUUUUUGAAAUUGGUUUGUGUUGUUGAUGAAUUGAUAUAAAAUUGAAAGUGAUUUAUGAAGUGAUGAUGGAAAAGAAAAUCCUUUAAUUGUUAUCAAAUUUUAGUUAAGUUGAUUAAUUGAAUUAAUUAAGAUUAAUUAUCAAAAUUAUUUAAUUAUCUCAAAUAAUUAAGUUAAUUAAGAUUAAUUAAUUAAAAAGAAUUAAUCAAACAAAAGUUCAAUUAAUAAUAAAUUUUUUUAUGAAACAAAAUAGUGUCAACGUUGAUUUAUAAAAAUUGAAUCGGUAACAAAAUGUGCUUAAGAACCGGUUUAUACAUGGCGGCAAUUGAAUUGGAAUGCCCCAUGUGAGAUCGAAACACGGUGAAGAAUGUUCAAUUGAUUUAUUAAGAACUUGGUGGUAUUGCAACAUGAAAUUGUCGAAUCCACAAAAUGAAUCCAAUUUAUUGUAGCGAAUGUGAACACUAGCGAAACAAUAUACUAUAAUAUUUACAAAAUUACACAACAUAUUGGAUGUGCAAAUAUAAAGGUUAAUGGGUCUAACUUUGAUUAAGAGGCCCAUGAUCUGAAUUCUUAACUUUUAUCUAGCAACACAAAAAAACAAUCAAUUUAUUAGGUAUAAUCAAAUAUCCCUAGAAUCAGAUUGACUUUUUCCACUACCCAUGAACUGAGAUAAUAUCAAAGGAAAUAUGGCAGGCACAAUAUUCUAUAACCUGUAAAUACUGGACGUCAAAUAAUCGACAUAUGAUGGUGCUCACAUCCAAAAGAAUUCAACAGGCACACUUAGUUGAAAAUGAAUAUCAAGUAAUCCACUCAACUUUCCACAUGAUAAUCCCAAUUUUAAGCACAAAAUAAUAUAACCAAAUUGAAAAUCAAGGAUUCAAGUGAAAGAAUGAUCAGUGUAGCAUCAACACAAACCCAGAAUUUUAAGACAGGAACAUUCUUUAUACAACAACAAACCCAGAAUUUUAAGACAGGAACAUUCGAAGAGUAUAACAUCUACAAAUUUAUAACAGUAUCCAUGGCCACAAAAUAAAACAGCAACAAUGUCCCAAGUCUAAAUUUGCAUAAAAUUAAACAUUCCAACAACUUUCCUAAUAACUCAAUCAUGGGAUUCAAAUGUCGUUACCGUAAACGUUGUCGAUUUGAUGCCGCUGAAAUGGAACAUCAACACGAGGUUAUUGCUUGAUGGCUUUUUGACAGUCGAAACAAGCUUCAAUUUCUGCCCCUUAACCCCCUUCUGGUACUGAAAUAGGCGGAGCAAUCGUUCUGCAAAACAAAAACCAAAACCGACUUGUAACCAUAUUAAGUAUUUAAAUAACAAGCAACAGUGAUAACUCGCAAAAGAUGGGUUGCGAGUCAGUUAAUUGAAGCGGAGAGACGCUUGGGUAGGUCGGUAGAGCUCAUUGAUUCGUGAUUUGUCUUUGGAGAUUUGCACUGCGGAACCGGAAUCGUGAGGUUUGAAGGUGAACGGUGUGUGAAGAUGAAAUCAACGGUGUAUGAGUUAUUGACGGCGAUCGAAGAGGGUUGCACGGCGGAGACCAAUAGCUGGACGAUUUUCGGUGGAUGAAGGAGUUCAACUGCAAUGGUGUUCGUCCGCGAGGAGGGUGAGUGGUUUGGUGGUGGCGUUUGGGUUUUGAAGAGGUUGAAGGUGGGUCGCGAGGUUGGACGGAGGUGUGGGUCGUGAUGCACGGUGGCUUUGUGUGAAGUGUGAUGGUUGAGAGAUGACUGUGGGAUUUAGCGGCGGAGACGAUUUGGGUCGUGGGUUUGUAUGGCGAUGGAAGACGGUGGUGCGGUAGAGGUUCAGGGUUGGAGUGAGGGCUUGGUGUUGAGAGUGGAAGAGUGAAUGAAAUGUGAGAGGGUUUCGUGUAGUUGAUGGGAAGGAGGCGGAGGCGAGGGUUUUGCGUGAGGGUUUUGUGAGGUUGUUGAGAGAUGAUGGCGGUGGUUGAAGGAUUUAGGUGAAGGAGUGUUUUGUAUUUGCUUUCUUUUUUCAGAAAGAGUGAGCGAGACGAGAGAGAAGAGGGUGAGGUUGUGUGAGAUGAGAGUGGGGACGCGUGUUGUUAAAAUGAGUGGAGAGUGUGUGAGAGAUAUCCUUUUUCUUUUUUUGUUUUUUAUGUGAGGAGGGAAUCCAAUGCACAUAAGUUUUUUAUAAUUAUUAUUCAUUUAAAUAACAAAUCAUAAAAAAAUAACUAAUAUUUAAUUUAAACACAUUCUAAUUAUUUUAAUUAAAUAUCUAACCAAAAAAUAUUGACCCAUUAAAAACAGAAAUCGAGUACAAAUUUGUUCGAAAAGAUGAACCGGUCACACUAAAAUUGUCAGGACAAAAAAUACUUAUUAAAAAAAUACAGCCUUUCCUCAAAUUCUGAAAUAAUUUUGCACUGAUUAAAAGGCUCAGGCGGUUCAAGAUAUAACCGAAACAGUCACUGUUGAUUUUGCCUAUUCUUGAGAAAUGAUUCAACUGAUUGGUCAGUAUUUUCAAUAAAUACAUUCUGACUGACACUUUAGGCAUUAUUCAUGAUUCAAUGUAUGUCAUGCUAUGCAUAUGAUGCAAAAAUGAAAAUGAAAUCAGUUCUAUGAAAGUUUUAAAUAUGCCCGGACAAAAUUGGGGUAUGACACUAUGCUCUUAACAAACUCAGGUUCUAGGGAUGAACCUGAGUAGCUCCUUUUUCUAAGCUUUGGUGUGAGGGGUCAAUUUAGAAUUCUGCAGUAUUUUUUGUGUAUUUGUUGAUGAAAAUGAGUGAGAGAUGGGUACUAUUUUAUAGGGGUAAUGGAGUGAUAAUAUGGAGGGAAUUUGUGUGUUGGUUGUGAGAUUUUUAGAGGGAAUUUCAGGUUGCCAUGUUUGUAGAGUUGAUGAAUGGUGUAGAUGGAAUAAAGUUGAAUUUCUUAUUAUGAUUUGUGUUAGUUUGGAAAAUUCAUGUGAUGUUCACGCGUUUCUCUCCUUUUGGUUUUAUUUUUCAUCUUUUUUUUUUGCUUCUUUUUUUUGGACUUGAUUGCAUAUGUAUUUAUGUAUGUAUGAUGCUUUUAGAAAAUUCAAAUGAAAAUUCAAAUGAUGAAAAUUAGAGAAUGAUGUAGGGUACAGAUGAAAAUUGGACUUGAUUGCAUAUGAAUUUUUUUUGGAAAAUUCAAAUGAAAAUUAGAGAAUGAUGCAGGGUACGGAUGAAAAUUAUCAAGAUAAUGAGAGAAGGAUGAAAGUAUUAAUCAGGGUUACAAAACCUUUUACCCUUUGACUUAAUUGGACCAUAUGUUGAUGAGUUAUUUUUUAUUUAUGAAAGCACAUGACCAGAUGAAACGAUCAUUUUAAUGUGGAUGAAUUGGGGAAUGCAAUGCAAAUUAAAGGUAGGACAAAUUUGGGGUAUGACAAGAUCCACCACCAAGGAAGACAUCUCUUCUAAAAGAUAAUUUGAACGAGUUUAUAAAGUUAACUCAAAGUAAAUUUAGAGAAAGUGAGACCACUCAAGAAAUGCCUUGAAAUGAGCCAUCUCCUCUAGAAGAAGUUAUGAACCAAUUCAUGUCGACUCAAAGCAACUUGGAAGCAAUACACUAAAAAAGUUGAAGCAUUCAACAAGGACAUUGAAACAUCCAAAAAGUACAUUGAAGCAUCAAAAAAGAACAUUGGAGAGUUCAUGAAGAAUAUUGAAAAUCACACUGGGCAAUCAUCUGAACAAUUGGUAGCUCGAUCAAAUUGAGGCUUUAGUAGGAAUACUUUAGAUAGUCUCAUGGAUGAAGAAGUUGGUAGAGAAGUUGAAAAUGAAUGGGAAGUGGUCAAUGAGAGAGGGGUUGAAAAAGAGAAAGAAGAAGAAAGAUGCACGCCACCAGAUGAAAAAAUUGAAUCAAGAAUAGAAAAAUAUGAGGUGAAAAAUAGUUUUCUGAAAAGAACAAGAAUUUUAAGUGAGGGUGAUCUAGUUGUGGACGAAGUUUCAAAUGCAAGAAUUUGGUUACACAUAGAUAUCCAACAUGAAAACCUUCAACAAAAGCAUAUCCCGAAAAUUUAUUUUAGCAACAAGAUAGAUGGAAGGGAAGAUAUCAAUAAGGUAUUGGAAAUCAUUUAUGCCUUAUCUGACACUACUACAAAUAAGGCAUUUUAUGACAAAGCUUUCACCUCGAACAUUUUAUGUUCUGAGAGCGCCAUGUUUUAUUUUACUAAAAACAUUUUCUCUCGGUUUUAUUUUAAAAACGAGGUAAUAUAUAUAUAUAUAUAUAUAUAUAUAUAUAAUAUAUAUAUAUAAAGAGACCUCACUUCGAAUCCCAGUUACUGCAUUUUAUGUUAUUUUUAUUUUCUAUGAUUUAUUUAGUUAUUCUCACUUGGUGCCUUUUCAACUACCCUUUUUUCUUUAUUAAUGUUUUAUUUUUAUUUUUAUUUCUAUUAAUCUCGGUCACAUGUACCAACUGAGAGUUAAUAUAUUGUGUCAAUAUUUACUAACUACUUUUUUCAAAAGCUUAUUUUUUCUAUGAACUCAUCUACCUCGAUUUUCCUUGAAAAUCGACAUGAAAAAUAUUUUAAUUGAGUUCCCAGAAUAUGUCGUUAUAGUGUUUUUGCUUUUUAUUUUAUUUUUAACUAAUGAGUACACGUCGAUUUCCUCUAAAUAUCGACAUGAGAUUAUUUUGCAUGAAAUACUUCAAAGAACUAGUCUCUAAGUUUUUGUUUACCUAUCAACGCUCUAACUUCAUCGUCAUUCCCUGCUUAGAAACCUUAGGUGAUUUUCAUCGUCACUCUCUCAUUAAAACUCUUCCAACUGUUGACGAUUUUCAUCGUCACUCUCAUCAAAACAUGAACAUCAUAUUUAUUUCCAACCUUAACUGAAUCUUCGUCAUCAUGUUUGAGGUACUUGUUUAUCACGCUUUUGUUUUUAUUACUAUAAUGGUUUUAGUUCAUAUCAUUGAAAUAGUUUUUGUUUAUAUCACACCAACAUCAUCUAUAUUACCAUACAACGUUCCUGAAAUGGUUUCUCUUGAUCAUUAUUUUUUCAUUUUGUUUAUAUCUCAUAAGUCAUGGCCUAACUGAAUUUAUUUUUCACUGAAAUGGUGUAUCUUCAUUUGUUACCAUCACAUUAGUUCUUCACUUGCACUAGUGUUAGUAUCACUGAAAUGGUGUCUCUUCUAUUAUUAUUUACUUUGAUAAUCAUGGUCGAUAGGAUAAACAACUCCCAUACAACAUCAACGAGUCACCCGAAAGAUGUUGGUGUCUCGAUGAAUUCAACCUCUAUGACUCAAACAACUACCUCUACAUAUACGAAACAUAAAAUAAAAACUAGAGGUUCCACGAUGUAUACCAAGGUGAAAAAGCCCACGAAAAUGGUAUUCGCUACCCGGUUAGAGUUGUUGUUACAACCGACAAGGCUUAUGGUGAACAUGUUGAGGAUUUUACGGGUUACAUUGCAUUACAAGGUAGAAGAAAAAAUUAGUAUUUUGUUGGAUAGUUGGCACGACGUUGACAAUGAGUUGAAAGACAACUUAUGAACUGAUAUUACGAGAUUUAUAUUGAAUUUUAUGAUUUGUUUUAUAAGCAUGUAUGAUCAUUUAAUUUUUUGUUUAAUACUGAUAAUAACUCUAUUGUGUAAACAUAAAAAGUGUUUAAUGUUAGUCUUAAUGAUAGUAAGGUGAAAAAGAAGGUGCUUACAUAUGCUGAUGAGCAUUGGUUGGGCUUUAAGACAUAACUCAUCCAUGAUUAUAUUACUCAUCCAACAGCUAAAAGUAAAGAAAAGCCUUCAUACCUGAUGUAUUCAUAUAUUGAUCAGGAUUGUAGGGAGGAAUUUCUAAAGCCUCGCACCACUCCCAAAUUAUUGGCUAAGAGCAAAAAAGGAAAGCUUAAUAGAUCUAGAAAUGUAUAUCCAUAUAGAUUGUGUCAUGGAUGAUAUGACAAACUUGAAAAGACGGUGAUUGAAGAAAAAAGAAAACAAAGGGAACAAGAGAUGGGUGAUUCUAUAAGCCUUGAUCACAUUUCAUCUCCACUAUCACGCCAGGAGAAAUGGAAGAGGGCACGCCAAAGAAAAUGCGUGAGUUUCACAUCAGAGGCUACAAGCGAAGUCACUGAAAAGAUUGUAAGUAAAUUCUUUUUUCAACAAUAUUAUUUACUUUGGUUAUAUUAACUUGGUAAAGAUGAAAUUUUAUAUGUUUUGUAGAAUGUAUUGGUUGAAUAAUCCAAAGUCGGCCUUUUCAUUCCAAAAGAUCGUCAUGACAUCUUGGUUGAAGCGAUUGGAACCGAGGAGCAUCAUGGGCGUGUUCAUGGUCUUGGAAGAGGCAUUGACUUCAAGAUUUUUUUGGAUGAUCUCAAUCAACUAGAGUAGUACAUAGUAAGGAAGAUAUUGAAGAGAUAGUUGUUUUUAAGUUGGUGGAGGAAAGGGAGAAAUGGAAUCAAGAGGAACAUUGGAGGGUGUAGAUGGAGGAGCGGGAGAGGGUGUUGCAGGAGGAGACUGAGAGGUUGUUGUAAUAGGUGCUGAAGCGGGUCUAAAAGAAGCAAGAGGAGUGAGAGAGAUUGGCUGAGAU
rnacentral:lncRNA from 1 species